CCAGACUCCUACGGGAGGCAGCAGUGAGGAAUAUUGGUCAAUGGGCGAGAGCCUGAACCAGCCAAGUCGCGUGAGGGAAGACUGCCCUAUGGGUUGUAAACCUCUUUUGUCAGGGAGCAACGCCGGCUACGUGUAGCCGGACUGAGAGUACCUGAAGAAAAAGCAUCGGCUAACUCCGUGCCAGCAGCCGCGGUAAUACGGAGGAUGCGAGCGUUAUCCGGAUUUAUUGGGUUUAAAGGGUGCGUAGGCGGACGCUUAAGUCAGCGGUAAAAUGGCGGGGCUCAACCUCGGCGAGCCGUUGAAACUGGCGUUCUUGAGUGGGCGAGAAGUAUGCGGAAUGCGUGGUGUAGCGGUGAAAUGCAUAGAUAUCACGCAGAACCCCGAUUGCGAAGGCAGCAUGCCGGCUUCCGACUGACGCUGAAGCACGAAAGCGUGGGGAUCGAACAGGAUUAGAUACCCUAGUAA
rnacentral:rRNA from 1 species